GUUAUCAUAGCUUACAAGUUAAAGCAUAGCACUGAAAAUGCUAAGAUGGUCUACACCUGAUUUAACACA
rnacentral:tRNA from 1 species